UGUUAUCACGGGAGACACACGGCGGGUGCUAACGUCCGUCGUGAAGAGGGAAACAACCCAGACCGCCAGCUAAGGUCCCAAAGUCAUGGUUAAGUGGGAAACGAUGUGGGAAGGCCCAGACAGCCAGGAUGUUGGCUUAGAAGCAGCCAUCAUUUAAAGAAAGCGUAAUAGCUCACUGGUCGAGUCGGCCUGCGCGGAAGAUGUAACGGGGCUAAACCAUGCACCGAAGCUGCGGCAGCGAACGUAUCACCCAAGACAACUUUACGGAGUUGACGAUUGACGGAGCGAAGCGACGUCAAAGCGUUCAUUAAAGUCGAGUUGGCUUAGGGAUACGUUCGUUGGGUAGGGGAGCGUUCUGUAAGCCUGUGAAGGUGUGUCGUGAGGCAUGCUGGAGGUAUCAGAAGUGCGAAUGCUGACAUAAGUAACGAUAAAGCGGGUGAAAAGCCCGCUCGCCGGAAGACCAAGGGUUCCUGUCCAACGUUAAUCGGGGCAGGGUGAGUCGACCCCUAAGGCGAGGCCGAAAGGCGUAGUCGAUGGGAAACGGGUUAAUAUUCCCGUACUUGGUGUUACUGCGAAGGGGGGACGGAGAAGGCUAUGUUGGCCGGGCGACGGUUGUCCCGGUUUAAGCGUGUAGGUGUGUGUUCCAGGUAAAUCCGGUUCACUUUAACACUGAGGCGUGACGACGAGGCACUACGGUGCUGAAGCAACAAAUGCCCUGCUUCCAGGAAAAGCCUCUAAGCAUCAGGUAACACGAAAUCGUACCCCAAACCGACACAGGUGGUCAGGUAGAGAAUACCAAGGCGCUUGAGAGAACUCGGGUGAAGGAACUAGGCAAAAUGGUGCCGUAACUUCGGGAGAAGGCACGCUGACACGUAGGUGAAGUGAUUUACUCAUGGAGCUGAAGUCAGUCGAAGAUACCAGCUGGCUGCAACUGUUUAUUAAAAACACAGCACUGUGCAAACACGAAAGUGGACGUAUACGGUGUGACGCCUGCCCGGUGCCGGAAGGUUAAUUGAUGGGGUCAGCGCAAGCGAAGCUCCUGAUCGAAGCCCCGGUAAACGGCGGCCGUAACUAUAACGGUCCUAAGGUAGCGAAAUUCCUUGUCGGGUAAGUUCCGACCUGCACGAAUGGCGUAAUGAUGGCCCGGCUGCCGCCUCCCAAGACUCAGUGAAAUUGAACUCGCUGUGAAGAUGCAGUGUACCCGCGGCAAGACGGAAAGUCCUUGUGAUCCUAUACUAUAGCUUGACACUGAACAUUGAGCCUUGAUGUGUAGGA
rnacentral:rRNA from 1 species